UGGCAGCGCUGUUUUCNGAGACAGCUCCUG
rnacentral:piRNA from 1 species